rnacentral:RNase_P_RNA from 1 species
CAGGUUGGUCGGGUGGCUGCGGCUCAAUUCGUUGGGCUGAGGAAAGUCCGCACUCCACAGGGCACGGUGCCGGGUAAUACCCGGGGCGGGGCAACCUGCCGGACCGGGCCACAGAAACAAACCACCAAACUGAACAUGUUCAGUCGGUAAGGGUGCAAAGGUGGGCCAAUUCACAUCGUGAGUUGGCGCGUAGUUGCCCAGCAAUUGCGUUGUAAGAGACCACCGGUGUCAGCAGCAAUGUUGGCAGCCAGGCAACCCCCACCAGGAGCAAGGCCAAGCAGGGACAAAUCCCAUUGUUCGCAAUGGGACGGGAGCGGCUCGUUCUCGUUGAGUUCCGGGUAGGCUGCUUGAGCUGCAAGGAGACUUGCAGCCCAGAUAGAUAGCUACCAGGGCAUUGGCAAGCCAAUGCUUAACAGAAUGCGGCUUAUAGACCGACCUGGCCU